AACCAACAGGGAUUGCCUUAGUAACGGCGAGUGAAGCGGCAACAGCUCAAAUUUGAAAUCUGGCCUUCUGGUCCGAAUUGUAAUUUGUAGAGGAUGAUUUUGGUGCGGUACCUUCCGAGUUCCUUGGAACAGGACGCCUUAGAGGGUGAGAGCCCCGUACGGUUGGAUGCCUAGCCUUUGUAAAUCUCCUUCGACGAGUCGAGUAGUUUGGGAAUGCUGCUCUAAAUGGGAGGUAAAUUUCUUCUAAAGCUAAAUAUUGGCCAGAGACCGAUAGCGCACAAGUAGAGUGAUCGAAAGAUGAAAAGCACUUUGAAAAGAGGGUUAAAUAGCACGUGAAAUUGUUGAAAGGGAAGGAUUUAUGACCAGACUUUUUCUAGGCGGAUCAUCCGGUGUUCUCACCGGUGCACUUUGUCUAGUUUAGGCCAGCAUCGAUUUUCGGCAGCGGAUAAAAGCUUCAGGAAUGUGGCUCCUCCGGGAGUGUUAUAGCCUGUUGUAUAAUACGCCGCUGGGGAUCGAGGUACGCGCUUCUGCAAGGAUGCUGGCGUAAUGGUUAUCAAUCACCCGUCUUGAAACACGGACCAAGGAGUCGAACAUUUAUGCGAGUGUUUGGGUGUUAAACCCUCACGCGUAAUGAAAGUGAACGGAGGUGAGAGCCCUUACGGGUGCAUCAUCGACCGAUCCUGAUGUUUUCGGAUGGAUUUGAGUAAGAGCAUAACUGUUCGGACCCGAAAGAUGGUGAACUAUGCGUGGAUAGGGUGAAGCCAGAGGAAACUCUGGUGGAGGCUCGCAGCGGUUCUGACGUGCAAAUCGAUCGUCAAAUCUGCGCAUGGGGGCGAAAGACUAAUCGAACCAUCUAGUAGCUGGUUACCGCCGAAGUU
rnacentral:rRNA from 1 species